AUGAGUCAGCACAGGUAUGGAAACUUGACAGCAUUAGCUCGGGAAAGAUGCUCCUCACAGUUGAAUAAGUCUGGACUGGUACACCAGGGUAUUGCUAGGCGGACCUUGCCAGAGAAAUCAAGUCAAAUAGCAGAUUUCAACAGAAAAAGGGUUACUCACAAGCCUCAUUUGCAAGAUGAGGAACUGUGGAAAAAGUAUGAGUUAGCUGCAAAAGAUGGAAAUGAUGCGGCAACAAAUACACCAAUCUUGUUUACUACAAAUUGGGAUGCUGAUGAUUCCGGAACUAUGAGUGAUGAAGCUGAUACCAGCAAUGAUGGUGACAUGGGAAAUGAUAUGCAUGAUUUUCAUGAUGGUGCAAAUGGUGCAGAUGAAUUAUUGGGUAAUGAAAAUCUGGAAAGUGAAGAAUCCUAG
rnacentral:rRNA from 1 species